rnacentral:tRNA from 1 species
GGGGCGACAGUAGGCGUCACGAGCAGUGCGAGUGGCUCGGCGGACUCAUAAUCCGUCGGCCGUGGGUUCGAGUCCCACCCGCCCCACCA